rnacentral:lncRNA from 1 species
AAUUAUCACCUGCUUUAAUUGCGUUUAUUGGUCUCACAGUGCCUCUGGAUAAUUUGUGAGCUGCACUCUUUUACUGCAUAUUCUGUCUGUAGCACUCAGCCAGGCUGUGGCUUCUCCGAGCCUGUGAAUGAGGCCAGGAGAAAAUGACAAACCUCUGAGAUGACCUGGGAGACAAGGAGCUGCCCAUCUGGCUUGCCCACUAGCCCCUCUGAUCACUUUGACUUUACAGCGGCAGCCCUUAAAGAAGACCCUGGUGGCCCGAACCCCGCUAGGAGCAGCAUGAGUUAAUCUGAGAGCUGAGGGCGUGGUGCAGGGUGGAGAGUCACAGCCCUCUCCUUCCCCGAUUCACAUGCACGUGCAAGCAGCUGUGUGUGAGCAUUCGUGAGCACAUGCCUGUGUGCACUCCUUUCUACUGGCUUCGGUCCUGAUCAUAGACGGGGAAACUCUUACACUGAAACUCAGACUGAAACAGACUGGCAACUCCCUAAUCCUGCACAGAGCCUCAGAAGGCGAGAGGAGAGUAGAAGUCUGAGCUGUGUAAGGUAACAAAACCUUCUUGUGUGCGAGGUUAGCACUGCUUUCUAACAUCCUCAAUCUUGGGAGAACAUGCUUUCUGGAUGUGUUGGAUGAAAAACAGAGCCACGGCGAUAGACACUGGUUAUUUGAAUGCGCAGAAGCAGGUUGUAAGCGGUCCCUCCCUCGUCGUCAUCAAAGCCUUUCCUCUGGGCCAAUCAGAGCAGCAGAAGCUCUGUCAUAACGGAUGAACACUGAAGUCGUGCACAGUUCAAGGACUCCAGCUUCUGAAGGAGGGAGCAGAGGUCAUGUGCAGAGCUCUUGACAGGAGAGGGGCCCUGGAGGGAACGUCCCAUCUCUGACAUGCUGGUGGGAUCCUGCUCGCUUCCGCCGAAGUCAGGACUUCAAACGGUUGCUCCUUUCUGUUCUCUGAUGGGAAAAAUAAACGAGAGAAUGAAGAGGACACAUCUCUACUUGGGAGGCAGCAAGGGCUCUGCUCAAGGAGCUGCAGACAUGGACACCACACUGCACUUUAGAGCUGAAGAGAAGGGCUGGGGUCACGGCUCUGGAAAGACCCAGCACAGGGCAUACUGGCAGGAGGAGAUCCCAGCCUGGAGGGUGUCUGCAGGGCACAAAGAAUGUAUGGACUUUUACAGCUGUGGCUCUAGUGAUCCUGGUUCUCCCCAGCCCCUUUGCCUUAGAGGGUAUAGAAAUGCUGCACAUGCGUUGUGGUUGUUUCUGGGCACAGCGCCAGCAGUGUGACUGUGUGAGCUCACCUUCCUGAGGGGAAACACAGAGCCCACACACCUGCAUCGCAGAAGGCACUUGCUGAAGAUGUUGCUUUCUUUGGCCCUGGCCCUCUUUCACCCAAGGCCAACUGUGAACUCUGCCGUGCUGCCUCCCAUCCCAUAGUCAGCUUCGCGGGGUCAAAGGUCCCAAGCUCCUCUCUCCUCCUCCAGCUCCUUGGCCAUGAGUCUAUCACUCAUCUUGAGAUUGAAACCCCCUUUGGUUAAAUGCACAGGCUCCACCCUCCUCCAAAGCGGGGGCAUCCACUCAGAUCCUUUGAUAAACAGGUGAGACUCCUUGAUCUCCAGUCUUAUAGCCUCAUAGGACUCCUUUGAUCCCCGAAGCUGCUUUCUGUGCUACCAGCUGGGCAUCUCAGGGGCUGAUACCAGGAGCCUCACACCUUCCCAGGAUGGCUUUGGGCUGGGUUUCUGACAGAAGAGGACUACUUCCAAGGGGAGGAGAGAUACCACCCACAGCACCAGGACUACAAUACCUGAUAGAACAGGGGCUGCCAGCAAGUGAUGUAUUCCACGUGGAGCCCCUGAUUUGGCUCCAAACACACCAGGGAUCACCAGAUGAACAGCCUGAAAAGCGUUACAGCAGGAGGGAAAGGAAGGGGUUUCCUUUCUCCUGCUCUCUCUCCUCCUGAAGGAUCCUGAGACAGGAGUUGUUAACACAUCAAAGGGAGGGAGGCCGGAGGGAGCAGCCAGAAUGCUCUUGUCACAGAAUGCAAAACUGUCGCUGCACCUGGAGCUACCUUUUGUGGGGACCUCAGGGUGGAAAUGGGAUUGGUAGGAGGAAGAUGAGGGUGUCUUUAGAAGUGGGGAGGCCAAAGGAAGGAGGGGCUUCCAAAUGCUCCAGGAGGAACAGUUUGGACUGAUGAGCUUUAGGGACAGAAUGAAUCCAGGUUAGCCUCACCUUCUACACUCUGAGCAAGUGGGAUUGACUCUCCUGGAAUCUGACUACUUAUGAUUUCAAAAUGGGCAUGUUGGCUCAUAACUGUAAUACCAGCUCCUAGGAGGCUGAGGCAGGAGGAUCACCAUGAGUUCCAGGCCAGUCUAAGAUACACAGAGAGACCUUAUCUCAAGAAAACCAAACUGAACCAAACCAAAACACCCACCUCCUCCAACAAAGCUAUUUUAGAAAAUGGGGAGUGCACAACUUUUACUGAAGGUAUGUGGGAGAGCCUGUGAGUGUGCUUAUAGCAUACAUAUAUCAGUAUCAAAACUUGAUAAACAUAUUGUUAAAUACUUGCUUCUCAGCAAACAAAUUUCCUUCCUUGUGAGGACACACUUUCCUUCUUCAUGGGUCUGUUUCUCAAGAUUUGCCUAACCACCUGGACAUGUUGGGCUCUGCUUUCUUCUUGGCAUUCUGCUCAGCAAGGUCAAAAUCUCCUGGUCGUUCAAAGGGCCACAGCAGACAGGCCAACAUCCAGCCUCUGGAGUUCCACUUGUGUAGGAAUCCAGGUUCUUGCUGAUUACAUGAAUCAUCCUACCAUGUUUCACAGUAGGCCCUUGAAACAGACAAUUUAUUGAAAUAGACAAGAGGCACUGUCUUGUCUAAUGGCUACCAUAGCCCCAAGAGGUUGGCAUGAGAGAGGAGGCUGAGCCUUAGAGACACUGAGCCUAAAGUUAAGCAGAGAGAAAACACCAGAAUCAGACUCAAAAUUCACAUCUGGAUUCAAUGACUUCUUCAGCUGAUUGAUCUCUCUAUCGGCAACAUGGGCUCCACCAUUGACUGUGUGGAGAGUGGUUUUUGUAUGUAAAACCAACUAUGAUUGUCCUAUCCAAGACUAUAUUAGCUGAAAUGAACAAUUAUUUGUCAUGAACAGAACAUGACUUAGUAUAGAGGUAUUCACAGUGUUGCCCAUGAAUUAAGACUAUGAGCUGGAGCACUAUCUCAUUUUAUCUGAAAAAAAAUGAACAUUGUUUCUAAGUUCUACUACUCUUCUCAGCCCA